rnacentral:snoRNA from 1 species
UGGACCAAUAAUGAGGAUGUGUUACAACCAAGGAUUAUGAUUAAUCCAAUUUUGCGCACCUUGAGGUCCAAU